UACGAAGGGGGCUAGCGUUGCUCGGAAUUACUGGGCGUAAAGGGCGCGUAGGCGGCACUGUUAGUCAGGCGUGAAAGUCCUGGGCUCAACCUGGGAACUGCGCUUGAUACGGCAGAGCUAGAGGAUGGAAGAGGGUCGCGGAAUUCCCAGUGUAGAGGUGAAAUUCGUAGAUAUUGGGAAGAACACCGGUGGCGAAGGGCGGCGACCUGGUCCAUUACUGACGCUGAGGCGCGACAGCGUGGGGGAGCAAACAGG
rnacentral:rRNA from 1 species